GAUGAACGCUGGCGGCGUGCCUAAUACAUGCAAGUCGAGCGAACAGACGAGGAGCUUGCUCCUCUGACGUUAGCGGCGGACGGGGGAGUAACACGUGGAUAACCUACCUAUAAGACUGGGAUAACUUCGGGAAACCGGAGCUAAUACCGGAUAAUAUAUUGAACAGCAUGGUCCAAUAGUGAAAGACGGUUUUGCUUUCACUUAUAGAUGGAUCCGCGCCGCAUAAGCUAGUUGGUAAGGUAACGGCUUACCAAGGCGACGAUGCGUAGCCGACCUGAGAGGGUGAUCGGCCACACUAGAACUGAGACACGGUCCAGACUCCUACGGGAGGCAGCAGUAGGGAAUCUUCCGCAAUGGGCGAAAGCCUGACGGAGCAACGCCGCGUGAGUGAUGAAGGUCUUCGGAUCGUAAAACUCUGUUAUUAGGGAAGAACAAAUGUGUAAGUAACUAUGCACGUCUUGACGGUACCUAAGCAGAAAGCCACGGCUAACUACGUG
rnacentral:rRNA from 1 species